rnacentral:rRNA from 2 species
GUCGAGCGAUGAAACUUUAACAGAACCCUUCGGGGCGAAGAUAAAGUGGAUUAGCGGCGGACGGGUGAGUAACACGUGAGUAACCUGCCUUAGACAUUGGGAUAGCCUCGGGAAACCGGGAUUAAUACCAAAUAAAAUCAUAAUGACACAUGUCAUAACGAUCAAAACUCCGGUGGUCUAAGAUGGACUCGCGUCCCAUUAGCUAGUUGGUAGAGUAAAAGCCUACCAAGGCGACGAUGGGUAGCCGGCCUGAGAGGGUGAACGGCCACAUUGGAACUGAGAAACGGUCCAAACUUCUACGGGAGGCAGCAGUGGGGAAUAUUGCACAAUGGAGGGAACUCUGAUGCAGCGACGCCGCGUGAACGAAGAAGGCUUUCGAGUCGUAAAGUUCUUUUAUAUGGGAAGAUAAUGACGGUACCAUAAGAAAAAGCCCCGGCUAACUACGUGCCAGCAGCCGCGGUAAUACGUAGGGGGCUAGCGUUGUCCGGAAUCACUGGGCGUAAAGGGUUCGCAGGCGGAAAUGCAAGUCAGAUGUAAAAGGCAGUAGCUUAACUACUGUAAGCAUUUGAAACUGCAUAUCUUGAGAAGAGUAGAGGUAAGUGGAAUUUUUAGUGUAGCGGUGAAAUGCGUAGAUAUUAAAAAGAAUACCGGUGGCGAAGGCGACUUACUGGGCUCAUUCUGACGCUGAGGAACGAAAGC